rnacentral:rRNA from 1 species
GUGGGGAAUUUUGGACAAUGGGCGCAAGCCUGAUCCAGCAAUGCCGCGUGCAGGAAGAAGGCCUUCGGGUUGUAAACUGCUUUUGUACGGAACGAAACGGUCCUGGUUAAUACCCGGGGCUAAUGACGGUACCGUAAGAAUAAGCACCGGCUAACUACGUGCCAGCAGCCGCGGUAAUACGUAGGGUGCAAGCGUUAAUCGGAAUUACUGGGCGUAAAGCGUGCGCAGGCGGUGCUGUAAGACAGGCGUGAAAUCCCCGGGCUUAACCUGGGAAUUGUGCUUGUGACUGCAGUGCUGGAGUGCGGCAGAGGGGGAUGGAAUUCCGCGUGUAGCAGUGAAAUGCGUAGAUAUGCGGAGGAACACCGAUGGCGAAGGCAAUCCCCUGGGCCUGCACUGACGCUCAUGCACGAAAGCGUGGGGAGCAAACAGGAUUAGAAACCCUGGUAGUCC